GAGGCAAAAGUGAAAAUGUGUUUGUGUAAGGAGGGCAUCUAUUACUGGAAACAAGUGGCCAUUUUCUUCACUGCCUUAGGACUGCACAACCUCAGAACUGUGGGUGGUGAACUAGACGGACGAUUGCUGUGGUCUCGUCUGGCAAUCUUCCAAACGCGUGUUCUGAAGUUGGUAUGGUCCAGGACACGUGCCAGCAAUAACAGAGUCAUUCCGAAUGUUUCAAUUUGUGUAGUGGGCAUAGAGUGAUUUGAACUUCCUGCUGAUAUAUCUCUGAAUAUGCAAGUAUUCAUUUAGACAGAGGGGAGAAUUGAACCUGGUCUUCCACAUCCCAG
rnacentral:lncRNA from 1 species